GAAAAGAAACUAACAAGGAUUCCCCUAGUAACGGCGAGUGAAGCGGGAAGAGCUCAAAUUUGAAAUCUGGCAGUCUUCGAUUGUCCGAGUUGUAAUCUAUAGAGGCGUUUUCCGUGCCGGACCGUGUCCAAGUCUCCUGGAAAGGAGUAUCAAAGAGGGUGAUAAUCCCGUACUUAACACGACCACCGGUGCUCUGUGAUACGUCUUCUACGAGUCGAGUUGUUUGGGAAUGCAGCUCAAAAUGGGUGGUGAAUUCCAUCUAAAGCUAAAUAUUGGCGAGAGACCGAUAGCGAACAAGUACCGUGAGGGAAAGAUGAAAAGCACUUUGGAAAGAGAGUUAAACAGUACGUGAAAUUGUUGAAAGGGAAACGAUUGAAGUCAGUCGUGUUCUUUGGAUUCAGCCAGUUCUGCUGGUCUACUUCCUUGGAACGGGUCAACAUCAGUUUUGUCCGGUGGAUAAAGGUAGUAGGAAUGUGACUUCUCCGGAAGUGUUAUAGCCUAUUAUCACAUACACUGGGUGAGACUGAGGACUGCAGCUCGCCUUUAUGGCCGGCCUUCGGGCACGUUCGAGCUUAGGAUGUUGACAUAAUGGCUUUAAACGACCCG
rnacentral:rRNA from 1 species